GACGAACGCUGGCGGCGUGCCUAAUACAUGCAAGUCGAACGCAGUGGGGACGGGUGAGUAACACGUGGGUAACCUCCCAUCAGAGGGGAUAACACUUGGAAACAGGUGCUAAACCGAUACUGAUGGAUGGACUCGCGGUGCAUUAGCUAGUUGGUGGGGUAACGGCUCACCAAGGCCACGAUGCAUAGCCGGCCUGAGAGGAUGACCGGCCACACUGGAACUGAGACACGGCCCAGACUCCUACGGGAGGCAGCAGUAGGGAAUAUUCGACAAUGGGCGAAAGUCUGACAGAGCAACGCCGCGUGAGUGAAGAAGGUUUUCGGAUCGUAAAGCUCUGUUGGUGGAGAAGCGGUAUCUAACCAGGAAGCCACGGCUAACUACGUGCCAGCAGCCGCGGUAAUUC
rnacentral:rRNA from 1 species